CGAGUGGCAAACGGGUGAGUAACGCGUAGACACCUGCCGCAAGAUGGGGACAACAGUCCGAAAGGACUGCUAAUACCGAAUGUUGUCAGAUUCCCGCAUGGGAGACUGAUUAAAGAUGGCCUCUACUUGUAAGCUAUCGCUUUGCGAUGGGUCUGCGUCUGAUUAGCUAGUUGGUGGGGUAACGGCCUACCAAGGCGACGAUCAGUAGCCGGUCUGAGAGGAUGAACGGCCACAUUGGAACUGAGACACGGUCCAGACUCCUACGGGAGGCAGCAGUGGGGAAUCUUCCGCAAUGGGCGAAAGCCUGACGGAGCAACGCCGCGUGAGUGAAGAAGGGUUUCGGCUCGUAAAGCUCUGUUGACGGGGACGAAGGUGCGAGAUGCGAAUAGUUUCUUGCAAUGACGGUACCCGUCGAGGAAGCCACGGCUAACUACGUGCCAGCAGCCGCGGUAAUACGUAGGUGGCGAGCGUUGUCCGGAAUUAUUGGGCGUAAAGGGAGCGCAGGCGGGAAGGCAAGUCAGUCUUAAAAGUGCGGGGCUCAACCCCGUGAUGGGAUUGAAACUGUCUUUCUUGAGUGCAGGAGAGGAAAGCGGAAUUCCUAGUGUAGCGGUGAAAUGCGUAGAUAUUAGGAGGAACACCAGUGGCGAAGGCGGCUUUCUGGACUGUAACUGACGCUGAGGCUCGAAAGCGUGGGGAGCGAACAGGAUUAGAUACCCUGGUAGUCCACGCCGUAGACGAUGAAUGCUAGGUGUAGGAGGUAUCGACCCCUUCUGUGCCGGAGUUAACGCAAUAAGCAUUCCGCCUGGGGAGUACGGUCGCAAGACUGAAACUCAAAGGAAUUGACGGGGGCCCGCACAAGCGGUGGAGUAUGUGGUUUAAUUCGACGCAACGCGAAGAACCUUACCAGGGCUUGACAUUGAGUG
rnacentral:rRNA from 1 species